rnacentral:tRNA from 1 species
GAGGAGGUGGCUCAGUGGUAGAGCACUUGCCUUGCAUGCAUGAGGCCCUGGG